UUAUGGCCAUAUCACAUUGAAACACCAGUUCCUGUAUGCUCACCAGUCAAGCAAUGUCAAGCUUGGUCAGUACCUAGAUGGGUGACCACUUGGGAAUACUAGGUGCUGUAA